rnacentral:rRNA from 1 species
GUGAGGAAUAUUGCGCAAUGGAGGCAACUCUGACGCAGCCAUGCCGCGUGCAGGAAGAAGGCGCUACGCGUUGUAAACUGCUUUUAACCGGGAAGAAACCCCAGGACGUGUCCUGGGUUGGCGGUACCGGAGGAAUAAGCACCGGCUAACUUCGUGCCAGCAGCCGCGGUAAUACGAAGGGUGCAAGCGUUAUCCGGAUUCAUUGGGUUUAAAGGGUGCGUAGGCGGAGCGUUAAGUCAGUGGUGAAAUCCUGCAGCUUAACUGUAGACUUGCCAUUGAUACUGGCGCUCUUGAGUGCGCUUGAAGUGGGCGGAAUGUGCCGUGUAGCGGUGAAAUGCUUAGAUAUGGCACAGAACACCAAUUGCGAAGGCAGCUCACUAAGGCGAUACUGACGCUGAGGCACGAAAGCGUGGGGAUCGAACAGGAUUAGAAACCCGUGUAGUCC